CUACCCUUGACAUGUCUGGAAUCCCGAAGAGAUUUGGGAGUGCUCGCAAGAGAACCGGAACACAGGUGCUGCAUGGCUGUCGUCAGCUCGUGUCGUGAGAUGUUGGGUUAAGUCCCGCAACGAGCGCAACCCUUGUCAUUAGUUGCUACGAAAGGGCACUCUAAUGAGACUGCCGGUGACAAACCGGAGGAAGGUGGGGAUGACGUCAAGUCCUCAUGGCCCUUAUGGGUAGGGCUUCACACGUCAUACAAUGGUCGGGACAGAGGGUCGCGAAGCCGCGAGGUGGAGCCAAUCCCAGAAACCCGAUCGUAGUCCGGAUUGCAGUCUGCAACUCGACUGCAUGAAGUCGGAAUCGCUAGUAAUCGCGGAUCAGAAUGUCGCGGUGAAUACGUUCCCGGGCCUUGUACA
rnacentral:rRNA from 1 species